rnacentral:tRNA from 1 species
GCGGGCGUGGCGGAAUUGGCAGACGCGCUAGACUUAGGAUCUAGUGUCCCUGACGUGAAGGUUCAAGUCCUUUCGCCCGCACCA